rnacentral:rRNA from 1 species
AUUGAACGCUGGCGGCAUGCUUUACACAUGCAAGUCGAACGGUAACAGGCCGCAAGGUGCUGACGAGUGGCGAACGGGUGAGUAAUGCAUCGGAACGUGCCCAGUCGUGGGGGAUAACUGCUCGAAAGAGCAGCUAAUACCGCAUACGAUCUAUGGAUGAAAGCGGGGGACCGUAAGGCCUCGCGCGAUUGGAGCGGUCGAUGUCAGAUGAGGUAGUUGGUGGGGUAAAGGCUCACCAAGACAACGAUCUGUAGCUGGUCUGAGAGGACGACCAGCCACACUGGGAAUGAGACAAGGCCCAGACUCCGACGGGAGGAAGCAGUGGGGAAUUUUGGACAAUGGGGGCAACCCUGAUCCAGCAAUGCCGCGUGCAGGAAGAAGGCCUUCGGGUUGUAAACUGCUUUUGUACGGAACGAAACGGUCUGGGUUAAUACCCUGGGCUAAUGACGGUACCGUAAGAAUAAGCACCGGCUAACUACGUGCCAGCCGCCGCCGUAAGAC